GACGAACGCUGGCGGCGUGCUUAACACAUGCAAGUCGAACGGAAAGGCCCUGCUUUUGUGGGGUGCUCGAGUGGCGAACGGGUGAGUAACACGUGAGUAACCUGCCCUUGACUUUGGGAUAACUUCAGGAAACUGGGGCUAAUACCGGAUAGGAGCUCCUGCUGCAUGGUGGGGGUUGGAAAGUUUCGGCGGUUGGGGAUGGAUUCGCGGCUUAUCAGCUUGUUGGUGGGGUAGUGGCUUACCAAGGCUUUGACGGGUAGCCGGCCUGUGAGGGUGACCGGCCACAUUGGGACUGAGAUACGGCCCAGACUCCUACGGGAGGCAGCAGUGGGGAAUAUUGCACAAUGGGCGGAAGCCUGAUGCAGCAACGCCGCGGGCGGGAUGACGGCCUUCGGGUUGUAAACCGCUUUCGCCUGUGACGAAGCGUGAGUGACGGUAAUGGGUAAAGAAGCACCGGCUAACUACGUG
rnacentral:rRNA from 1 species